GGCCGGUUAGCUCAGUUGGUUAGAGCGUGGUGCUAAUAACGCCAAGGUCGCGGGUCCGAUCCCGUGAUCUGGCCA